UUGCCAAAAAAAUCUUGAAAAAAAAAAAGGAGUCUGGCUUUGGUUAAAAAGAGCAGCGAUUCUAUGAAGGGUAAAAUCAAAGAGUGAUAGAGCGAAUCAAUGUGAUUGACUGGGCAGUGAAGUGAUGAAGGGACUUUAUUGUCUUCCUCAGCUUUCUUGCCGAGAAAGGACCGUCCGAGACAUCUUUAUCUGAUGAGCCGGUCCCUGUAGGUGGCUGGUUGCAAUGUUACAUCUUGUCAAGAUGUCAAAUCCAUCGGCUUUUUGUAGAUUGCUGAAUGACAAAUUUGAAAUGUAGCUUCCAUUUUCAAUAAAAGAGAUUGAGCUCCAAUCCCUUCCAACCUGACAAGGUCCUUGGCAAAAGAAGGGUUGGUUGUAUUA